GUUUUUAGUAGCUUAGUAUAAAGCGUGGCCCUGAAGUUGCCGCUACGGGAUCUAAAUACCCCAAAAACC
rnacentral:tRNA from 1 species